AUUGCCUGGGUGAUGAAAUGAUCUGUACUCCAAACCUCUGUGAGGCACAGUUUACCCGUAUAACAAACCUGCACAUAUACCCAUGAACCUAAAAUAAAAGUUAAAAAAAAUCCAAAACCUAAAUUACCUUGAUUCUUUAUGAGUUGUUACAUUUGAAAAUUCGAUUGAUGAGUUAAUGACAAUAAUUUAACUCUCUCAUGCUUAUCCCCCUCAUCUAACCAAAACAAACAAACAAACAAAAACAAACAAACAAAAAAACCCCUAAGAUGGAAUGUUGAGGUGAGGAACCUUUGAAUUUUUAAAUAUUAGAUCUACCAGAGCCUCAGAAAGACAUGUCUACAUUAAGAGGACGUUGACUAUUGAUAUAGACAUGUAAGUUCUUUACUGCCACGUUCUUAGUAAUUCCUGAAGUGUACGUGUAUGAAAUGACAUUAAUUCUCUCAUACUUUACGGUUGCUUAUUAGUGCCUAGAAGAAAUACAGUCUUUGUGGUCAGUCUCCUUGGAUCAACAAAAGCCUGUACUUUCCCGUUUUGCAUGUGCUAUUUAGUGAAAAUGUUGAGAAAGCACCAUCUAUCCUGCGCCACUGGCAUCCCACUGAUGCUCUGUCCUGGUUGCUAGGUGCAGAUUUAGGUUCCAAGCAGAACACUCCUAGUGUUCUCUGCGGUUUGUUGUAGCAUCAGAGUGUCUUGGCAACCAAAGGCAGAGCUGGUGCUAUGGAGGACCUGCUUACUGCUAUGAGGUAUUACUUUAUGCAGGUCCUGGAGAAGCUGAUUGAGGCCAAGUCACUGUUGCAAGGAGACACGAGACUCACAUCAGAGUUCUAUGGCUUAACAUGGGAGAUGGUGAUGCUCACACCCUAUGUAAAUGGAAACUCUUCAGAGGAUGAGGGAGAAUGCAACUCUCUGAGUGUCUUGGUAUCAGCAACAGUACAGGAGUUGUUGGAUGAAGGCAGUGAAAGAUAUUGAGACGGAUUAUCAUCUUGAAAGAAACAUGCUAUGCACUGUUUCUAGGAAAGCAGGAGCUUCUUUCCUCUAGCAAGGGGAAGACUGCUUCUGCCACUUUGGCAGGUUCAGAGAAAUCUGAAAGUUUCUGUUUUUGGAGUACAACGUACAGAUAUCAAGGUCUCAGUGUCUGACUCCUUCCCUACCAGGGCCCUGGUUUUAGCCUAAAAAGUCUACUGAGCCUUGCAUUUUGUCUCCUUUGUGACUCUAUGACCCUUACAAUUAUGUCCUGGGCCUGAUUUUCAAUAGCCUUCUCUAAGGCUGAGGAAAUGUGAAUCUCUUUAAAUACUGUCAUAAAAGUUUUCUUUUCAUAGCAUUUAUUAAGUUAGUGAUCCUCAAAGUAUAGUUUCUGAACCUGUAUCAUCAUUAACAUCACUUGGGACCUUGUUAGAAAUUCAAAUUCUUGGACCUUGCCCCAGACCUACAGAAUCAGAAACUCUGAGCGUGGGGCCCAGAAAUCUAUGUUCAACAAGCAGUUGUGCACCAAUGCCCUAGGUUGAUAGUUGGCUUACUUGACUAUGCUGUUCUUUUUCUUCAAGACUUCCAAAACAAUCAACGAAAGCCAGUCAACUUGACAAUUAUCUAAUUACUUUUACCUCCAAAACUUUCAAAGGCUAGAAGACCAUAUAAGCCAAUGCUCCUCCUUCUACCUGUACCUCAUCCCAGGCCACAAUAGGUAAGACUAUGAGUAAUGGUGAUAUUGAAGCAUGCCAAGAGUUGCUAGCAUUCCAUUUACUCCCAACAAUGGAUGACCUGUUGCAAUCUGACUGAUGAGUAAUUCAUUUCCUGAAUAUUCUUCUAAAACUCUCAUUUCUUGGUCCAUUUCAGAACCAACUCUCUUAAUUUAGGUCCCCCCUGAAAGCAGAACUUAAGAUAAGGAAUUAAGUACCAAUAAGUGAUUUUGGAGGUGAUUACAAGAAGAACGAGUGAGGAAACAGGAAGAGUUAAACAUUUAAGAAAGAAAGGUAAUUUAGGGAUGCAUUAGCCAGGUUGUGUGUAAUGGGAGUCCAGUUCUCUAAAGACCUUCUGAAAAGCACACAGUAUGUUUUUGCCUGAAGGAAGAGCUUCUGGACCAUUUAUUCCUAGUUAAAAUUCUUCAUUGUUGGAGGAUUUCCCCUAGGGUCAUUAAGCAUUUUGUACUUCUAGGCAGCACUUGUCUACAAGCCAAAUGGGCUCCCAUGGUGUCAGACAAGCCUUGGGGCCGAGGGAAGCCAUAUACAGCAUACUUGAGGUAGGUCACUCUCAGUAUGUGUGAAAUGAAUCUGAGUUCACACACAACUGUCCCUUGCAGCUCUGCUGAAAUUAGAGCUGGGCUGAGGAGAUGUGAUACACUGGUACUAGAGGCACCUACUUUAGAAGGUGAGAUAGAAAUGCUGUAUUUUACAUUUAUAACCAUAGGAAUGGAGGUGUGCUGGCUUUUACCAUGAACUCCCCCAGAUAGUGUUCUGCAAAGCAGAGGAGGCCAACUGAAAUAAAAUCACAGGAAAAAUUAUAUUUGCGGGAAGAAGAUAAUCUCAAGAGAAGCAGAGAUUAAGAGUAUUCUUGGAUUUUGCGUAGUAAAAACCAUCUAGUCUAAGACUCUGUCCCCUAACCAAGGAC
rnacentral:lncRNA from 1 species